rnacentral:rRNA from 1 species
UUGAUCAUGGCUCAGAUUGAACGCUGGCGGGAUGCUUUACACAUGCAAGUCGAACGGCAGCACGGACUUCAGUCUGGUGGCGAGUGGCAGACGGGUGAGUAAUGUAUCGGAACGUGCCUAGUAGCGAGGAUAACUACGCGAAAGCGUAGCUAAUACCGCAGCAUACGCCCUUCGGGGGAAAGCGGGGACCUUCGGGCCUCGCACUAUUAGAGCGGCCGAUAUCGGAUUAGCUAGUUGGUGGGGUAACGGCUCACCAAGGCGGCGAUCCGUAGCUGGUUUGAGAGGACGACCAGCCACACUGGGACUGAGACACGACGAACUCCUACGGGAGGCAGCAGUGGGAAUUUUUGGACAAUGGGGAAACCCUGAUCCAGCCAUCCCGUGCGAUGAAGGCCUUCGGGUUGUAAAGCACUUUUGGCAGGAAAGAAACGGCACGGGAUAAUACCCCGUGCAACUGACGUACCUGCAGAAUAAGCACCGGCUAACUACGUGCCAGUAGCCGCGGUAAUACGUAGGGUGCAAGCGUUAAUCGGAAUUACUGGGCGUAAAGCGUGCGCGGGCGGUUCCGGAAAGAAAGAUGUGAAAUCCCAGAGCUUAACUUUGGAACUGCAUUUUUAACUACCGAGCUAGAGUGUGUCAGAGGGAGGUGGAAUUCCGCGUGUAGCAGUGAAAUGCGUAGAUAUGCGGAGAACACCGAUGGCGAAGGCAAGCCUCCUGGGAUAACACUGACGCUCAUGCACGAAAGCGUGGGAGCAAACAGGAUUAGAUACCCUGGUAGUCCACGCCUAAACGAUCCUUCGCUGUUGGGGCCUUCGGGCCUUGGUAGCGCAGCUAACGCGUGAAGUUGACCGCCUGGGAAGUACGGUCGCAAGAUUAAAACUCAAAGGAAUUGACGGGGACCCGCACAAGCGACGGAUGAUGUGGAUUAAUUCGAUGCAACGCGAAAAACCUUACCUACCCUUGACAUGUCUGGAAUCCCGAAGAGAUUUGGGAGUGCUCGCAAGAGAACCGGAACACAGGUGCUGCAUGGCUGUCGUCAGCUCGUGUCGUGAGAUGUUGGGUUAAGUCCCGCAACAGGCGCAACCCUUGUCAUUAGUUGCUACGAAAGGGCACUCUAAUGAGACUGCCGGUGACAAACCGGAGGAAGGUGGGGAUGACGUCAAGUCCUCAUGGCCCUUAUGGGUAGGGAGCUUCACACGUCAUACAAUGGUCGGGACAGAGGGUCGCCAACCCGCGAGGGGAGCCAAUCCCAGAAACCCGAUCGUAGUCCGGAUCGCAGUCUGCAACUCGACUGCGUGAAGUCGGAAUCGCUAGUAAUCGCGGAUCAGCAUGUCGCGGGUAGACGUUCCCGGGUCUUGUACACACCGCCCGUCACACCAUGGGAGUGGGUUUUACCAGAAGUAGUUAGCCUAACCGUAAGGAGGGCGAUUACCACGGUAGGAUUCAUGACUGGGGUGAAGUCGUAACAAAGGAGUAG